ACGGAAGGCAGCAGUGAGGAAUAUUGGUCAAUGGACGCAAGUCUGAACCAGCCAUGCCGCGUGCAGGAAUAAGGCCCUAUGGGUCGUAAACUGCUUUUGUGGUGGAGCAAUAAGUCGUACGUGUACGGCGAUGAGAGUACAUCACGAAUAAGCAUCGGCUAACUCCGUGCCAGCAGCCGCGGUAAUACGGAGGAUGCAAGCGUUAUCCGGAUUUAUUGGGUUUAAAGGGUGCGUAGGCUGUGGUCCAAGUCAGGGGUGAAAGCCAGGAGCUCAACUCCGGAACUGCCUUUGAUACUGGAUUGCUGGAAUACGGAUGCCGUGGGAGGAAUGAGUAGUGUAGCGGUGAAAUGCAUAGAUAUUACUCAGAACACCGAUUGCGAAGGCAUCUCACGAAUCCGUCAUUGACGCUGAGGCACGAAAGCGUGGGGAUCAAACAGGAUUAGAUACCCUGGUA
rnacentral:rRNA from 1 species